GACGAACGCUGGCGGCGUGCUUAACACAUGCAAGUCGAACGAAGAGCGAUGGAAGCUUGCUUCUAUCAAUCUUAGUGGCGAACGGGUGAGUAACGCGUAAUCAACCUGCCCUUCAGAGGGGGACAACAGUUGGAAACGACUGCUAAUACCGCAUACGAUCUAAACUCGGCAUCGAGGAUAGAUGAAAGGUGGCCUCUACAUGUAAGCUAUCACUGAAGGAGGGGAUUGCGUCUGAUUAGCUAGUUGGAGGGGUAACGGCCCACCAAGGCGAUGAUCAGUAGCCGGUCGGAGAGGAUGAACGGCCACAUUGGGACUGAGACACGGCCCAGACUCCUACGGGAGGCAGCAGUGGGGAAUCUUCCGCAAUGGACGAAAGUCUGACGGAGCAACGCCGCGUGAGUGAUGACGGCCUUCGGGUUGUAAAGCUCUGUUAAUCGGGACGAAAGGCCUUCUUGCGAAUAGUGAGAAGGAUUGACGGUACCGGAAUAGAAAGCCACGGCUAACUACGUG
rnacentral:rRNA from 1 species